rnacentral:rRNA from 1 species
GAGCCCGCGUCCCAUUAGCUAGUUGGUAAGGUAACGGCUUACCAAGGCGACGAUCAGUAGCCGACCUGAGAGGGUGAUCGGCCACACUGGAACUGAGACACGGUCCAGACUCCUACGGGAGGCAGCAGUGGGGAAUAUUGCACAAUGGGCGCAAGCCUGAUGCAGCAACGCCGCGUGAGCGAUGAAGGCCUUCGGGUCGUAAAGCUCUGUCCUCAGGGAAGAAUAAUGACGGUACCUGAGGAGGAAGCCCCGGCUAACUACGUGCCAGCAGCCGCGGUAAUACGUAGGGGGCGAGCGUUAUCCGGAAUCAUUGGGCGUAAAGGGUGUGUAGGCGGUUUGGUAAGCGAGAGGUGAAAGGCUAUGCCUCAACCAUAGUAAGCCUCUCGAACUGCCAAACUUGAGUGCAGGAGAGGAGAGCGGAAUUCCUAGUGUAGCGGUGAAAUGCGUAGAUAUUAGGAGGAACACCAGUGGCGAAGGCGGCUCUCUGGACUGCAACUGACGCUGAGGCACGAAAGCGUGGGGAGCAAACAGGAUUAGAUACCCUGGUAGUCCACGCCGUAAACGAUGGAUACUAGGUGCCGGAG